rnacentral:rRNA from 1 species
GAUGAACGCUGGCGGCGUGCCUAAUACAUGCAAGUCGAGCGAACGGACGAGAAGCUUGCUUCUCUGAUGUUAGCGGCGGACGGGUGAGUAAAACGUGGAUAACCUACCUAUAAGACUGGGAUAACUUCGGGAAACCGUAGCUAAUACCGGAUAAUAGUUUGAACCGCAUGGUUCAAAAGUGAAAGACGGUCUUGCUGUCACUUAUAGAUGGAUCCGCGCUGCAUUAGCUAGUUGGUAAGGUAACGGCUUACCAAGGCAACGAUGCAUAGCCGACCUGAGAGGGGGAUCGGCCACACGGGAACUGAGACACGGUCCAGACUCCUACGGGAGGCAGCAGUAGGGAAUCUUCCGCAAUGGGCGAAAGCCGGACGGAGCAACGCCGCGUGAGUGAUGAAGGUCUUCGGAUCGUAAAACUCUGUUAUUAGGGAAGAACAUAUGUGUAAGUAACUGUGCACAUCUUGACGGUACCUAAUCAGAAAGCCACGGCUAACUACGUG